GAUGAACGCUGGCGGCGUGCUUAACACAUGCAAGUCGAACGAUGAAGCCCAGCUUGCUGGGUGGAUUAGUGGCGAACGGGUGAGUAACACGUGAGUAACCUGCCCUUAACCCUGGGAUAAGCCUGGGAAACUGGGUCUAAUACCGGAUAGGAGCGUCCACCGCAUGGUGGGUGUUGGAAAGAUUUAUCGGUUUUGGAUGGACUCGCGGCCUAUCAGCUUGUUGGUGAGGUAAUGGCUCACCAAGGCGACGACGGGUAGCCGGCCUGAGAGGGUGACCGGCCACACUGGGACUGAGACACGGCCCAGACUCCUACGGGAGGCGGCAGUGGGGAAUAUUGCACAAUGGGCGCAAGCCUGAUGCAGCGACGCCGCGUGAGGGAUGACGGCCUUCGGGUUGUAAACCUCUUUCAGUAGGGGAGAAGCGAAAGUGACGGUACCUGCAGAAGAAGCACCGGCUAACUACGUG
rnacentral:rRNA from 1 species